GGUUUCACUUUUCUCUCCAAUCCUGCUUGAGUCCAAGAUUCUCAAGCAUUUAAUAAUGUGACCAUGACCAAGAAGUGCAUCAGUUGUGUUCAGACAUUCACUUGCUUAUAUAUGUUAAACAAAUUUACUUUUAUGUAGUGCAUCUUUCAUACUAUAACAUUCUGAGUGUGCUAUGGUCCAAUUUCUAUUCUGGACCUUUGGGAAAGGGUUAAUCUGGGAGAAGGUUUCCAUGCUGCCUUUAUGCGAUCAGCUCAACUCAACUCAGGAUUUAAACGUGAGCCCCUUAAUUGGUAGACCAGUGGUUUAUGUCACCAAUUUAAAAUAGAGCUUUUCAAUAAUAGUAUUAAAAUUAUCAUUAGACUAUACUUGGUCACAUUUUUGUUCUGGGUGACUUGUUUGUUUAUUUAUAGUUAUUUUUUUCUUUGUUUUAACUCGUAAUACCUUCCUCAGGGGGAUGCCAUAGACUCAGAACAUUUAUCUGAACUGACUAUAAUAAUAUUUGACUCUUGAUACCUUCCUCAGGGGGAUGCCAUAGAUUCUGAACAUUUAUCUGAACUAACUGAAGAAGAUGAGAUACACGUUGUUCGACCUCAACUCCGUGGUUUCCUCAAACUGGAUGUACUUUAUCUCAUUCCAUUUUUCACCAAGAGGUUUACUCAGCAGGAAAUGAAAGAAGGCCGUUGCCAGGUAGAUGUUCUAGCUAAUCAAUGGGAAAUGGAGGUUCGUGCUGCUCCUUCUGAGUCUGAGGAUGAUGUUACUGAAUUUGAAACAUCACUUAUUUCUCAGUCAGGCUCAAACAAACUUUUAGCACCAAAUGGAAGCAGUACCCCAAGCAAUGUUUCUUAAACAUUGAUUUUAUAUAUAAAUAUUUUAUUGUUUUGUCUUUCUGAAUCCUAUGGUAAAGAAGCUAGAUCUAGUUUCACUGGGUCCAAUAUAUUUUUGUGAUCUUUAAUAUAUAUUCUGUGAUUGUGCAAUAUUUUUAAGGUCCUUUUUUUUCUGUCUUUUCUUUUUUCUACGACUUUUUUUUUACACAACCAAAUUAGUUGGUGUGAGUGUAUAUGUUAGAUUUUGACAUGUAGAGUUUUACUCUAUUGCAAGCUAAUUAUUCAUUAUUUAGUUUUUGGAUUCAAAAUUGUAAUAAAUAAAUUUGCUUUGUUUCUGACAUUAGAAUAUUGGUUGUCA
rnacentral:sRNA from 1 species